UACAGAGGUGGCAAGCGUUGUUCGGAAUUACUGGGCGUAAAGGGCGCGUAGGCGGCCUUCUAAGUCAGACGUGAAAUCCCCCGGCUUAACCUGGGAACUGCGUCUGAUACUGGAGGGCUUGAGUGCGGGAGAGGGAUGUGGAAUUCCAGGUGUAGCGGUGAAAUGCGUAGAUAUCAGGAGGAACACCGGUGGUGUAGACGGCUUUCUGGACCGUAACUGACGCUGAGACACGAAAGCGUGGGUAGCAAACAGG
rnacentral:rRNA from 1 species